CUGUGGAUGCUCUAACAACUGCCGCCACCUUCACGACUCAGUGACCACCACCAAUGAAUCAAUCUCUCUCACUCGCUCUAUACCAUAGAUUACUUAAUUGCUUAGCGAUGGCAAAUUAAGAAUGAUUUGGGCGUCGUUAAGACUUAAAGCACAAAGAUUAAGCCGGAUCUAGGACUUCAACAUCUAUUUUCAUAGUUCUAAAUAUGGGUUUCCAUAUCAGCCUUUGUCGACAUCAAGGAAUUGGGAUUUUCUGAUGUUCUACGAGUCUUUUGCUGAAUCAUUUGGGGUAAAAUGGCUUGGUGCUAAGGAAGAUGUUGCUUGUAGGAUUAAGGAGUCUUUCUGCUACUUAACCUUUCUCACUCCCUGUAUAGAAGAUGAUUGAUGAAACACAUACAGAUGGAAGACCUAACCAAUGCUGACUGGUGAUUCCCUGUAUUUCCCUGUAUUACUAUCAUGUGCAGGACAUUACUUUUGUCUAUCUUCCUGGAUGCUGUAACUGUAUUUGCCUAUGGAACUCUAUUCAAGUGCAUUCCUGUGAAACAUAUGGUUGCAGGAAAUUAUGGAGUUGCUUUAGCAGUUUUAGAACUUAAAGAGCUAAAAAGGAAGGUUUGGUAGCCGAGGAUGCUCGAGGGCUUGCUUGGAUGGAUGAAAAUAUAGAAAAGAUGGAAAAGUAAACCCUUUAGCAGUUGAGAAAAAUGUGAGUAUGCUUGGCCUUAUACGCAAGUGUUGCAACCAUAGUCAUGGCAGCAAGCAUGAACUCGGUGAAUAGUGCACCAAGGAAUGACAAUACGGACGAGACUCUCCUGCAAAAGCAUACUGAACUAGUUACCAAUGUGUUCGGGUUUGUUAAUUAUGAGUUCAUGUUAAUGAAUUUAAUCCUUAAUUCCAUAUGUAGAUUUCUGUCUUAACUUUACGAAAUUAAAACUGCAAUGGAAGAGAGAUCAUUAAUGCAAAUUCAGGAUACAUGACAAGUAUAUACAUUAUGCAUUAUAGAAACAUAAAAUGUACAGUGCUUUAUAUGUCUAGAGGAAACGUAUAAAAUUGCCAAGCGUACCAUCUGGCCAACCCAAACUACAACUAGAUGAAAUGGAGCAGGAUAUGGUAUUAUUAUAACAGUAGCAGAAUGAAUAACAGACGUCGUUGAGUAGAUGAAACAUCAACUAUCACUUGAAUAUUUUGGUAAGAAAGGUGAAGAGCAUCGUUACAUUCUAGAUGAUUUUUGAAGGGGUUUAUGCCUUGCACCCAGAUAUUGGUAAAUCACCCGACUUCUGGAUAGCAGCAGCAAUACCUGCCAACAACAAUUUAGUUCUAUAUGUUGAAAGUCUUAAUUGCAUCAGAAAUCCAGGUCUUGUUGGUGUUUGGGAGAAUAUAUUGCAAAUGAAUGGGUAACUUUGGCCGGUCUCCUGGAGUUUAUGAAUGAAAACUUGACUAACUACUUUUUGUGGAGUGGAAACAUAUCUUUCUUUUAUUUAGAGGAUCAGACACUUUUUUGUGCUGUGAAAGCUUCUUGAGUCGCUACUUUCUCAUAUGAGAUCUGUAAUUUGUGGAAUUUUGCACAACUAUUUUUAUGUAACUGACUGUGCUCCUUGUAUAUAAUGAUCAUGAUUUACUAAUAUAUAAUUAUAUAUUU